AUACGUUAAUGCUAAUUUUAAGGGAUUCAUGUGAAGUUUGUUUGGAUUAAAUUUGAUUGAUAAUGUGAUUGACAAUUUAAAUUAAAAAUUUAAAGUAAAAUUAAUUAUUUUGGAAAAAAGAUUUAAUGCUAAUGGCAUUGGAUUGUAAAUAAGUCGAACUCUAGGAUUUAUUUGCUAAAAUGGCUGCAAAAAUGUAUAUCUACUAGAUUUUAACCCGCGGUAUACCGCGGGGCUAUAUCUUUUUA
rnacentral:sRNA from 1 species